UUUGAGAAGAUGGCGGCCUGAACCGGAGUCCUUCUUCCCCUCCUCCCUCUCCGCUGCUGCAAUGCCCAGGCCCCCCGCAACGUUCCUCGUCUGUAAUGGUGCCAGAGGCUUUAAAUCUUGCAGAAGCCACAUCUGCUGCCUGCAGUCUCCGGUAUGUCAUUAUCAGCAGUGUGAAAAUGGACUCACUCCCACCCUGUCUGGAUCUGGACAAGAGCCCACCACCCCGUUGGCAGUAGUCAGGCAGCUCUGCUUCUAAGAACCUGCAGCUUUUGGAAGAAAGGCACCCUGUGGUUUCAGAAGCCCAAGAGUCCCUGCAGCUCAGCACCCCCAGCCUGGUGCUUGGCAGAUGACUGCCUCCUCACUUAGCAGAGGGAGCAGAAAACUGUGUAUUCUUCAGAACAUCAUGAUAACCUGGCACUCAUGGGUCUAUGGAGAGAAUUCAGGGGGUCUGGGAGCUUGGAUGGAAUAAAUUUGCAUCUUUAUUUUCAGGAAAGUUUUACUGAAGUUUAGCAUUUUCUUUCAUUAUAAAUGGAAUCAGUAUAACCCAAUAGUAUGAGCAGUUACUUCUCCGCAACAUCAAAGUGGCUGCAGAUAUCUCAAAAUAGUAUUUACAUUUAUCAUAACUUAGAAAUUUGGGUGGUAAUUAAACCAGCAACUAUUCUUUGUUUAAUGCAUUAAGAAAGAAGUAUGUAUACUAUCAUAUCUCAAUUAAAAAUAUUUUAAGAACUGGAUUUUAA